UACGUAGGGUGCAAGCGUUGUCCGGAAUUAUUGGGCGUAAAGAGCUCGUAGGCGGUCUGUCACGUCUGCUGUGAAAACUCGGGGCUUAACCCCGGGCCUGCAGCGGGUACGGGCAGACUAGAGUGCGGUAGGGGAGACUGGAAUUCCUGGUGUAGCGGUGAAAUGCGUAGAUAUCGGGAGGAACACCUGUGGCGAAGGCGGCCCCCUGGU
rnacentral:rRNA from 1 species